rnacentral:rRNA from 1 species
GACGAACGCUGGCGGCGUGCUUAACACAUGCAAGUCGAACGGAAAGGCCCUGCUUUUGUGGGGUGCUCGAGUGGCGAACGGGUGAGUAACACGUGAGUCACCUGCCCUUUACUUUGGGAUAACUUCAGGAAACUGCGGCUAAUACCGGCUAGGAGCUCCUGCUGCAGGGUGGGGGUUGGAAAGCUUCGGCUGUUGGGGCUGGACUCGCGGCUUAUCAGCUUGUUGGUAGAGUAUUGGCUUACCAAGGCUUUGAUGGGUAGCCGGCAUGGGAGGGGAGCCGGCCACAUUGGGACUGAGAUAGGGCCCAGACGGCAAUGGGGGGCAGCAGUGGGGAGUAUUGCACAAUGGGCGGACGUCUGAGACAGAAACGCUGCGUGUGGGAUGACGGCCUUCGGGGUGUAAACCGCUUUAGGCUGAGACGAAGCGUGAGUGACGGUAAUGGGUAAAGAAGCACCGGCUAACUACGUG